rnacentral:rRNA from 1 species
UACGAAGGUGGCAAGCGUUGUUCGGAAUCACUGGGCUUAAAGGGCGCGUAGGCGGGCCAGAAAGUGUCUUGUGAAAUCCCACGGCUUAACCGUGGAAUUGCUCGGCAAACUUCUGGUCUUGAGGCAAGUAGGGGUGUGUGGAACUCUUGGUGGAGCGGUGGAAUGCGUAGAUAUCAAGAGGAACGCCGAAGGUGAAGACAGCACACUGGACUUGUACUGACGCUGAGGCGCGAAAGCUAGGGGAGCAAACGGGAUUAGAUACCCUGGUAGU